GUAGGUGGCAAGCGUUGUCCGGAAUUAUGGGCGUAAAGCGCGCGCAGGCGGGUCCUUUAAGUCUGAUGUGAAAGCCCACGGGCUCAACCGUGGAGGGUCAUUGGAAACUGGGGGACUUGAGUACAGAAGAGGAAAGCGGAAUUCCAAGUGUAGCGGUGAAAUGCGUAGAGAUUUGGAGGAACACCAGUGGCGAAGGCGGCGUUUCUGGUCUGUAACUGACGCUGAGGCGCGAAAGCGUGGGGAGCAAACAGGAUUAGAUACCCUGGUAGUCCACGCCGUAAACGAUGAGUGCUAAGUGUUACGGGGGUUUCCGCCCCUUAGUGCUGCAGCUAACGCAUUAAGCACUCCGCCUGGGGAGUACGGCCGCAAAGGCUG
rnacentral:rRNA from 1 species